UGGGGAAUUUUGGACAAUGGGCGCAAGCCUGAUCCAGCCAUGCCGCGUGCGGGAAGAAGGCCUUCGGGUUGUAAACCGCUUUUGUCAGGGAAGAAAUCUUCUGAGUUAAUACCUCGGGAGGAUGACGGUACCUGAAGAAUAAGCACCGGCUAACUACGUGCCAGCAGCCGCGGUAAUACGUAGGGUGCAAGCGUUAAUCGGAAUUACUGGGCGUAAAGCGUGCGCAGGCGGUUUUGUAAGACAGAGGUGAAAUCCCCGGGCUCAACCUGGGAACUGCCUUUGUGACUGCAAGGCUUGAGUGCGGCAGAGGGGGGCAUGGAAUUCCGCGUGUAGCAGUGAAAUGCGUAGAUAUGCGGAGGAACACCGAUGGCGAAGGCAAUCCCCUGGGCCUGCACUGACGCUCAUGCACGAAAGCGUGGGGACGCAAA
rnacentral:rRNA from 1 species